rnacentral:misc_RNA from 1 species
AAAACGAGAUGCGAUUGUUUGUUCACAUCAAGGAAGAAGAAUUUAGUUUGAUUUAUGUAUCUUUUGGAUCUAAUAUCUGUAGUUCAUAUUUUUUUUUUCUUAGAAUGUUUUAUCUCUAGGUUGGCAUCCUGUGUUUUAGGACUAAAGUAUCAUUGUUUUGGAACUCCUGUAUUGUCUUCUUUUUUUCUUUCAAGGGAAUGGAAGAGAAUUUUUG